AAUAUACUGCUAUACUCUUAUAUAAAAAUUAGACCUGACAAUUUCUACCAUAACCGCUAAUUACCAGUAAAUUUACGGAUAUUGAUAUUAUUUUUUCUUACCUAAAAAAUUAUAGGUAAAACGAAUGGGCAUCUGUUAAGUGGUGGGUAUUUUGGGCAACCCGCAAGUACCCAUGGGUAGUUGCAUAUAUUUUUCUAAUUAUAAAAUAUAGGAUAAACUUCAAAUACUUCCUGUGGUUUCACACGUUCUCACUUCAGUACCUUGUGGUUUAAAGUGUAUCAAGUUAGCCCCUAUGGUUCACACUUUCUCACUUUAGUACCAUGUGGCUUAAAGUGUAUCAAGUUAGUAUCCUAUGGUUUUAUUUUUUUUUUUAUUAUACAUUUCACUAAUUAUGUUACUGUUUUAAAACAACAAAACCGCAUAACCACCACCUACCUGGCCGCAAGGGUAUGAGAAAAGAUGUUGACUAAUGUGACCUGUAGGGACAAUGAACCGUCUAUUGAUUAUCUAAUCUGUCUAUUUGUCAGGUCUAAUAAAGGUUUUAUUUUUUUAAAAAAAAUAAAAGGCGAUAAUAGUUAGUGAAAAUCUAAUAACAUUUUGGGUGCGUUUGGUUCGCGCUAUCUUUUAAAGAUUCCUAAUAAUCCAAUAGGAAUAAAAAAAUAUGGCGGUGUUUGGCUAAACGCACUAAGUAAUCUAGUUGGUAAUAUUGGAUUCACUUGGGAAUAAGAUUCACCCCAAAGUACUAAUCUCAUUCGCUUGAGGGAGGGUGGGUAUUCUCAUAUUAAUGGAUUGGGGUAAUCAUAAUAUGUCUAAUCUCUUUCUUUCUUCCUACCCGCCGGUUAAUUGAUAUUAUUUUUUUUUACACUCUAACCUUAUAUCUCUCUCUAAACAUAUUUUUCUCUCUAAAAUUCAACUUUUUUUUCUCUCUCUAAACUAAGCUUUCUCUCUCUCUCUUUCUAAAAUUUCAACUCUCUCACUCCUUCUAAUUUCGACUAUAUUUUUCUUUCUAUUUUUUUAAUUAUGCUCUCUCUCUCUAACUUAUACUCUCUCUCCUUUUUUUCUAAAAAGAUGUUGAAACUUUUGGUAACAUUAUCUAAAAUUAAUUAAAUAAAUAAAUUAAUUAAUUGUAUAUUUUUUUGUAAUAAUAAAUAAAAUGACUAAUUAAUAUUACUGUGCGAACCAAACACAGAAAUUUUACAUUCUUAGUAAUAGGAUGAAUAGGAAUAAGAUUCUCGGAUAUCUUUUAUUCCUAGUAAUCUUUCAUAAUGCGAACCAAACGCACCCUUUAAGGUAUCUUU
rnacentral:lncRNA from 1 species